rnacentral:tRNA from 1 species
CGGGGUGUAGCUCAGUGGUAGAGCACCUAGCAAUAGGAGGCCGUAGGUUCGAACCCUGCCAUCCCGA